GGCACCCUGUGUGAGGGUCCGGUGUCCCCAGCGUGCCGUGGCCUCGGGGAGUGGGAAGUGGAGGCACGAUCCCUCCUUACCCUUCGCCAUGAGUUUCCUGAUCGACUCCAGCAUCCUGAUUACCUCGCAGAUACUGUUUUUUUUUUUUUGGAUUUGGGUGGCUUUUCUUCAUGCGCCAAUUGUUUCAGGCUAUGAGGUAACGUCAGUAUGUUGUACAGGUGAUCUCCAUGACGUUUGCAUUUUCUUGCACCAUGUUUGAGCUCAUCAUCUUUGAAAUCUUAGGAGUAUUGAAUUGUGGGAGAUGUGGAAGAGGUCUCAGGAGUUUUCAAGGCCACAUCCAUCAGUGCACAUUGUGCUUAUGGAAUCUGUGAUGUCACUGCCUCCCCCGAUGAAAAUCAGCCCUGAAUCUGUUUGCCUUUAGGAAUUAACACCAGCAGAGGAGCAGUAAAACAACGUGGGAUUCUUCUGGCUUCUGGAGCCUCUGCAUAUGUCAAGACAAAAUUGCUUCACCAGUGAAUCAGGUCACCCAGCAUCUCUAACUAUUAAAAUUCAGCUUGGUUGGACAUAACCUUGGGUUUUAUUGAUUUGUUGGAGUUUGAAAUACUUAUUCUAGAUACUAAUCAGGUUUUCCCAUGUUACAUGUACUUUCUUCAAUUUCGUGCUUUC
rnacentral:lncRNA from 1 species